rnacentral:rRNA from 1 species
UACGGAGGGAGCUAGCGUUGUUCGGAAUUACUGGGCGUAAAGCGCGCGUAGGCGGCUUUGUAAGUUAGAGGUGAAAGCCCGGAGCUCAACUCCGGAACUGCCUUUAAGACUGCAUCGCUUGAAUCCAGGAGAGGUGAGUGGAAUUCCGAGUGUAGAGGUGAAAUCCGUAGAUAUUCGGAAGAACACCAGUGGCGAAGGCGGCUCACUGGACUGGUAUUGACGCUGAGGUGCGAAAGCGUGGGGAGCAAACAGG